rnacentral:rRNA from 1 species
UACGGAGGGUGCAAGCGUUGUUCGGAUUUAUUGGGCGUAAAGCGCGCGCAGGCGGGCAAAUAAGUCAGGUGUGAAAUCUCGGAGCUUAACUCCGAAAGUGCGCCUGAAACUGUUUGUCUAGAAUACUGGCGGGGGUAGGGGAAUUUCGCAUGUAGGGGUAAAAUCCGUAGAUAUGCGAAGGAACACCGGAGGCGAAAGCGCCUACCUGGACAGUCAUUGACGCUGAGGCGCGAGAGCGUGGGGAGCAAACAGG